rnacentral:rRNA from 1 species
AUUGAACGCUGGCGGCAGGCCUAACACAUGCAAGUCGAGCGGAUGAAGGGAGCUUGCUCUCUGAUUCAGCGGCGGACGGGUGAGUAAUGCCUAGGAAUCUGCCUGGUAGUGGGGGACAACGUUUCGAAAGGAACGCUAAUACCGCAUACGUCCUACGGGAGAAAGCAGGGGACCUUCGGGCCUUGCGCUAUCAGAUGAGCCUAGGUCGGAUUAGCUAGUUGGUGAGGUAAUGGCUCACCAAGGCGACGAUCCGUAACUGGUCUGAGAGGAUGAUCAGUCACACUGGAACUGAGACACGGUCCAGACUCCUACGGGAGGCAGCAGUGGGGAAUAUUGGACAAUGGGCGAAAGCCUGAUCCAGCCAUGCCGCGUGUGUGAAGAAGGUCUUCGGAUUGUAAAGCACUUUAAGUUGGGAGGAAGGGUUGCUGAUUAAUACUCUGCAAUUUUGACGUUACCGACAGAAUAAGCACCGGCUAACUCUGUACCAGCAGCCGCAGUAAAAC